CAAAAAUAAAUAUACGUACUAUUGAAGCUUGAAAAGAGGCACCAAUUCUCUUCAUUAUAAGCAGCACCUCAAAGAAAAAGCCUAGGAGGGGCAGACAGACCUUGCGCAGUGCUAAGUGAAGGAUUCCCUGGAUUACCAGCAGAUUCAGCCCUAGACUGUACUACCACCACACCCGUCAUCACACAGGGUUAUUUCCUCCAGCUCUCCAGGAUAAUGGACAAGACAAAAAUCACAUGUUAAGGGGGAGCCCUGGACCUGCUGGAGCUGGACUCGAGCAACCAUAUAGAAUGAUUCACAGAUAAAGAACUUUCAGAACAAGACUCAUCAAGGACUCAGAGGAUUUCCUUUAGGAUUAUAGAAAAACCUAUGAAGACAUAACCAGGAUAUAGAAGCAUACUUCCAUUUUGCCACAUUUCAAGGGCUCAAUAGCCACCUGUUGCCAUUAGACAGCUCAGGUCUAGAACAAUGACUGACACCUGGCUUGUAAUGUCUGAGGGAAAUUCAUAAGAAACAAAAGAUUGGGUGACUUCUCUUUCAAUGCAAAUGUGAGUAGCCAUGGUGGUAUUUCCUUGGAUCUUCCUUCAAGAGAGCCUGCUGCAAGCUUCUCUCCUGCUCCCAUGUGUUUAGGGUCCACUGUAGAGUCCACCCUCUCCCCAGAUGACUGCCAGCCAAUGACUUGUACAUUGGGGGCACCUAGGCUUGGCAAUCACUACCCAAUGUGGAAGUCCUCUAACAGCAACCUCUGCUAGGCUGGCCAAGACACCCUUGGACUAGCACCUCCAUCAGAACCUCUUUCUACCCAAUCCUGUCCUCUCACAGCAUUCAGACCUAGCUUGCCUUCCGAAGCAAUCACUUCUGCCCCCUCUCCUCUUAGCCAUGCAGAAGCAUUAUCUCCAAUAAAUCUUUGUAUUCCUACCUCCAACUUGACAUCUGCUUCCCAAAGAACGUGAACUGACACA